AUUGAACGCUGGCGGCAGGCCUAACACAUGCAAGUCGAACGAGUGGCGGACUGGUGAGUAAUGUCUGGGAAACUGCCUGAUGGAGGGGGAUAACUACUGGAAACGGUAGCUAAUACCGCAUACCAUCGGAUGGUACCCGAUGGGAUUAGCUAGUAGGUGGGGUAAAGGCUCACCAAGGCGACGAUCCGUAAAUGGUCUGAGAGGAUGACCAGCCACACUGGAACUGAGACACGGUCCAGACUCCUACGGGAGGCAGCAGUGGGGAAUAUUGCACAAUGGGCGAAAGCCUGAUCCAGCCAUGCCGCGUGUGUGAAGAAGGUCUUCGGAUUGUAAAGCACUUUAAGUUGGGAGGCGUUACCAACAGAAUAAGCACCGGCUAACUUCGUGCCAGCAGCCACGGUAAUAC
rnacentral:rRNA from 1 species